rnacentral:rRNA from 1 species
GACGAACGCUGGCGGCGUGCUUAACACAUGCGAGUCGUACGGUAAGGCCCUUUCGGGGGUACACGAGUGGCGAACGGGUGAGUAACACGUGAGUAACUUGCCCACAACUUUGGGAUAACGCUAGGAAACUGGUGCUAAUACUGGAUAUGUGCUCCUGCUGCAUGGUGGGGGUUGGAAAGCUCCGGCGGUUGUGGAUGUACUGGCGGCCUAUCAGUCUGUUGGUGGGGUAGUGGCCUACCAAGGCGGCGACGGGUAGCCGGCCGGAGAGGGUGACCGGCCACAUUGGGACUGGGAUACGGCCCAGACUCCUACGGGAGGCAGCAGUGGGGAAUAUUGCACAAUGGGCGCAAGCCUGAUGCAACAACGCCGCGUGCGGGAUGACGGCCUUCGGGUUGUAAACCGCUUUCAGCAGGGACGAAGCUUUUUGUGACGGUACCUGCAGAAGAAGCACCGGCUAACUACGUG